rnacentral:rRNA from 1 species
UACAGAGGGUGCGAACGUUGCUCGGAAUUACUGGGCGUAAAGCGCGUGUAGGCGGGACCGAAAGUCAGAUGUGAAAUCCCCGGGCUCAACUCGGGAACUGCAUCUGAAACUCCGGACCUUGAGUACUGGAGAGGGCGGCGGAAUUCCUGGUGUAGAGGUGAAAUUCGUAGAUAUCAGGAGGAACACCGGUGGCGAAGGCGGCCGCCUGGACAGUUACUGACGCUGAGACGCGAAAGCGUGGGGAGCAAACAGG